UACGUAGGUGGCAAGCGUUGUUCGGAAUUACUGGGCGUAAAGGGCUCGUAGGCGGCCAACUAAGUCGGAUGUGAAAUCCCCAGGCUCAACUUGGGAACUGCAUCCGAUACUGGAUGGCUUGAAUUCGGGAGGAGGAUGCAGAAUUCCAGGUGUAGCGGUGAAAUGCGUAGAUAUCUGGAGGAAUACCGGUGGCGAAGGCGGCAUCCUGGACCGACAUUGACGCUGAGGAGCGAAAGCUAGGGGAGCAAACGGGG
rnacentral:rRNA from 1 species